AGCCAACACCUCUGUGAUAAGAAGAAACCUUAUAACUAUGGCAAAAAGAAAAUGUUAAUGCCAAUUGCCCGAUGGGGCUUAUUUUCCUCUUUCUGUGUGGAGCAAGCUGCCUCCAGAUUAUGUACAAUGGGACUCCGGAUUCACUUUGUUGUUGAUCCUCAGGGCUGGUUCUGUAUGGGCCUGAUUAUUUUUGUCUGGCUUUUCAACACAUUCUUCAUUCCAAAAAUCAUCCUCCUUCCACACUAUGAAGAGGGGCAUAUAUCAGUGGUUGCAAUAUUGUGUUACUAUCUAUUUGCACUGUUCUGUGUUGUCUCAUUACUGAGAGCCUCAGUAGCUGAUCCAGGGAGACUACCUGAAAGCCCAAAGAUACCAAUUACAGAAAGAGACUUUUGGGAAUUAUGUAAUAAAUGUAAUAUGAUGAGACCAAAGCGUUCCCACCACUGCAGCCGAUGUGGACACUGUGUUAGGAGAAUGGAUCAUCAUUGUCCAUGGAUUAAUAACUGUGUUGGUGAAGAUAAUCACUGGCUGUUUUUGCAGUUAUGCUUCUACACAAAACUUCUCAGUGCUUAUACACUGCUACUUGAUUUCUGUCACUGUUAUUACUUUGAACCACUUAAAAAAGUUAAUUGGGAUAUCUUUGUGUUUAGACAUGAACUUGCCCUGAUAAGAAUAUCUACCUUCAUGGGUCUGAUAAUGCUGGUUGGAAUUAGUGGACUCUUUUAUACACAGUUGAUUGGUAUAUUCAAUGACACAACAAGCAUAGAAAAACUGGCAAACUGUUGCAAAGACAUAUCGAGACCUCGAAAGCCAUGGCAGCAGACCUUCUCAGAAGUUUUUGGCACUCGCUGGAAGAUCCUGUGGUUUAUUCCUUUCAGGCAAAGGCGACCACUGCGAGUUCCCUACCACUUUGCCAAUCACGUCUAAACAGAUGGAUGGAUACUCCCACCAAGCCAACCACAUCAGUAUCCAGUAUGGACAAAAUAUAUGCUUUUCAAGCUGCUAGAAGACUGCUGCUGAAUCUGGGAAGACAGCCAAGAGGGAGAGACGAGUAUAUGCAGAAGUGAUGCCUUGUUAAAAGCCUACAGCUCAAGCCCUGUCAUGCUUUUAAAAGGCAACACACUAAACUAGUUAAGCCUCGGGGGAAGUCCCCAUGAUGUGUGCAGCCUUGAGACUGCCUAUGAAGGAGCCAGAAUAGAGCUGUUCGGGGCCAGUCUUAAUGACUGAGCCAAAGAGAUAAGAUUACAACACCACAGAAGCUGCUGAAGAAAAUUAAAGCAAAGGCUACCAAAGCAAGUCUACUACAGAUGGUUGAAGAUAAUGAAGCCCAGCCAAAGCAAAGACUGCCACAGACACUGCCUGACACUGACCAAUGGCUGCUUAAAACCCAGCAAACAGCAAAAGCACCACUUUUCCAGAAGUGAAAAGUUUUUGUAUUGAGGUUUAGCAGGUAUUUAGCACUGCAAAGAGAAGCUUUUUGGUCAAAAAGAGACUAGAAAUAGAGAAUAUUAUGCAAAGAGUGUAAGAUAGAUAGAUACACACACUGGUGGUGCAGUUUCCAGACCCUUUUCCUGAAGCUAAAAAGAGUAUAUUAUACGAAGUUUAAAACCCUUUGGUUAAGACCAAAGAGGUUGUUUGUACAACUAAGAAAAGGCUGUAUGAAUAAAAAAUAGAUAAAUCUGUCUGUAAGGAGUGUAUAGGACUGUUCAUAAUAAAUGUUUACUUGUGUAACUGCAUCGCAAAUGUAAGCCUCACAAAUACAAGUACUAACUAGUGAACUUGUUAAAGCUAGCCAUGUGCUGCUUUAACUCUUUUGUUACCAGUUAAAACUAGCUAUGGGCCACUUUAACCACUUAGUUCCAAGUGGAAGUCAGCUACGUGCUGCUUUCACCUGUAAGUUAUAAGCUAAGAGCCAACUACUGUAUACACUUGUUUAAAUAUUAUGCACUGGCUAUGGCCAGCAAUAUGUCUCUAUUUAACUGUUAACUUACUGGCUAAGGACAGAGUUUCUCUAAAUCAUGUAUACACAAUUUCUGUAUUGGCUGAGACUAGCUACUUGUAUGUCUAGUCUGCACCAGACCUUAAUAUAGAUAUAAAGAAAUAUUUGUAUUUUCUGCUGUGGAACUCUAUCAUGAAAAUUGUAGUAUGACACAACAAAGAGAUGGGGCAGCUCUCUGCUUCAGCUGCUGUUAUAAAUUAGUCCAACAUUUGAGCCUGUCAAUACUUCCUGGCACUGGAUGCUGGGGGGGCUGAGCCCUCCCAGGGGAAUCCAGGGGGCACACUUGAGCCCCGCAGCCCUCCCCCAAAGUUUACACCUAUGGCUGGUGGGCCAUAAUGCUUUGUUAUGGUUUAAAAACAAACACUCUCUGAACACAGAAAAUAGUGUGUCAGAGAGAAGACUAGGCUAGAACUUUUCUUUCUGACAUGUGACAUGUCAAGUUUCUGUGUUCAAUGCGCAUGGGGGGCUUCCCUCCAUUUGGUCUGAUGUGGCAUAGCAAGAACUAUGUGAUGCACAGCAUUACUAUGUAGCUAAGCCAACACUCCUAUCCACACCUACUAGGAGCGAACCCAUUUGAACAUGGUAGAUAGUAUUCAACUAAGUCCUACUCAGAGUUGACCCACUGAAAUUAAUGAACCUGCAUUAGCCAUGUCUGUUACCUCAGUGGGUAUACUCUGAGUAAGACUAGCAUUGAAUACCAUCCAGUGGAACUUACUUCUAAAUAAACAUGCAUAGGACUGCGCUACGUUUUAUUAAAAAAAUCAUUUUAUU